GUGCUUGCUUCAGCAACACACACACUAAAAUUGGAACAAUACAGACAAGAUUAGCAUGGCCCCUGCACAAGAAUGACAUGAAAGUUCAUGAAGUGUUCCAUAUAAUA
rnacentral:snRNA from 1 species